rnacentral:rRNA from 1 species
UACGUAGGGCGCAAGCGUUGUCCGGAAUUAUUGGGCGUAAAGAGCUCGUAGGCGGUUUGUCGCGUCUGCUGUGAAAUCCCUCGGCUUAACCGGGGAACUGCGUCUGAUACUGGAUGGCUUGAGUCCGGGAGAGGGAUGCGGAAUUCCAGGUGUAGCGGUGAAAUGCGUAGAUAUCUGGAGGAACACCAAUGGCGAAGGCAGCUCGCUGGGACGGUACUGACGCUGAGACGCGAAAGCGUGGGGAGCAAACAGG